rnacentral:rRNA from 1 species
GUAUUAAGGNCAGNUCGAACGGACUCAUAUUGAAACCUAGUGAUUUAUGAGUUAGUGGCGGACGGGUGAGUAACGCGUGGAUAACCUGCCGUAUACCGGGGGAUAACACUUAGAAAUAGGUGCUAAUACCGCAUAAGCGCACGGCUCCGCAUGGGGCAGUGUGAAAAACUCCGGUGGUAUACGAUGGAUCCGCGUCUGAUUAGCUAGUUGGCGGGGUAACGGCCCACCAAGGCAGCGAUCAGUAGCCGGCCUGAGAGGGUGGACGGCCACAUUGGGACUGAGACACGGCCCAAACUCCUACGGGAGGCAGCAGUGGGGAAUAUUGCACAAUGGGGGAAACCCUGAUGCAGCGACGCCGCGUGAGUGAAGAAGUAUCUCGGUACGUAAAGCUCUAUCAGCAGGGAAGAAAAUGACGGUACCUGACUAAGAAGCCCCGGCUAACUACGUGCCAGCAGCCGCGGUAAUACGUAGGGGGCAAGCGUUAUCCGGAUUUACUGGGUGUAAAGGGAGCGUAGACGGCAGCACAAGUCUGGAGUGAAAUCCCGGGGCUUAACCCCGGAACUGCUUUGGAAACUGUGCGGCUGGAGUGCAGGAGGGGUAAGCGGAAUUCCUAGUGUAGCGGUGAAAUGCGUAGAUAUUAGGAGGAACACCGGUGGCGAAGGCGGCUUACUGGACUGUAACUGACGUUGAGGCUCGAAAGCGUGGGGAGCAAACAGGAUUAGAUACCCUGGUAGUCCACGCCGUAAACGA